rnacentral:rRNA from 1 species
GCAGAAGAGGACAGUGGAACUCCAUGUGUAGCGGUGAAAUGCGUAGAUAUAUGGAAGAACACCAGUGGCGAAGGCGGCUGUCUGGUCUGUAACUGACGCUGAGGCUCGAAAGUAUGGGUAGCAAACAGGAUUAGAUACCCUGGUAGUCCAUACCGUAAACGAUGAAUGCUAAGUGUUGGAGGGUUUCCGCCCUUCAGUGCUGCAGCUAACGCAUUAAGCAUUCCGCCUGGGGAGUACGGCCGCAAGGCUGAAACUCAAAGGAAUUGACGGGGGCCCGCACAAGCGGUGGAGCAUGUGGUUUAAUUCGAAGCUACGCGAAGAACCUUACCAGGUCUUGACAUACUAUGCAAAUCUAAGAGAUUAGACGUUCCCUUCGGGGACAUGGAUACAGGUGGUGCAUGGUUGUCGUCAGCUCGUGUCGUGAGAUGUUGGGUUAAGUCCCGCAACGAGCGCAACCCUUAUUAUCAGUUGCCAGCAUUAAGUUGGGCACUCUGGUGAGACUGCCGGUGACAAACCGGAGGAAGGUGGGGAUGACGUCAAAUCAUCAUGCCCCUUAUGACCUGGGCUACACACGUGCUACAAUGGAUGGUACAACGAGUUGCGAACUCGCGAGAGUAAGCUAAUCUCUUAAAGCCAUUCUCAGUUCGGAUUGUAGGCUGCAACUCGCCUACAUGAAGUCGGAAUCGCUAGUAAUCGCGGAUCAGCAUACCGCGGUGAAUACGUUCCCGGGCCUUGUACACACCGCCCGUCACACCAUGAGAGUUUGUAACACCCAAAGUCGGUGGGGUAACCUUUUAGGAACCAGCCGCCUAAGGUGGGACAGAUGAUUAGGGUGAAGUCGUAACAAGGUAGCCGUA